AUUGAACGCUGGCGGCAUGCCUUACACAUGCCAGUCGAACGGUAACAGGUCUUCGGAUGCUGACGAGUGGCGAACGGGUGAGUAAUACAUCGGAACGUGCCCGAUCGUGGGGGAUAACGAGGCGAAAGCUUUGCUAAUACCGCAUACGAUCUACGGAUGAAAGCGGGGGAUCUUCGGACCUCGCGCGGACGGAGCGGCCGAUGGCAGAUUAGGUAGUUGGUGGGAUAAAAGCUUACCAAGCCGACGAUCUGUAGCUGGUCUGAGAGGAUGAUCAGCCACACUGGGACUGAGACACGGCCCAGACUCCUACGGGAGGCAGCAGUGGGGAAUUUUGGACAAUGGGCGAAAGCCUGAUCCAGCCAUGCCGCGUGCAGGAUGAAGGCCUUUGGGUUGUAAACUGCUUUUGUACGGAACAAAAAGCCUCUUUCUAAUAAAGAGGGGUCAUGACGGUACCGUAAGAAUAAGCACCGGCUAACUACGUG
rnacentral:rRNA from 1 species